rnacentral:rRNA from 1 species
AGAGUUUGAUCCUGGCUCAGGAUGAACGCUAGCGGCAGGCUUAACACAUGCAAGUCGAGGGGCAGCAUAAUGGAUAGCAAUAUCUAUGGUGGCGACCGGCGCACGGGUGCGUAACGCGUAUGCAACCUACCUUUAACAGGGGGAUAACACUGAGAAAUUGGUACUAAUACCCCAUAAUAUCAUAGAAGGCAUCUUUUAUGGUUGAAAAUUCCGAUGGUUAGAGAUGGGCAUGCGUUGUAUUAGCUAGUUGGUGGGGUAACGGCUCACCAAGGCGACGAUACAUAGGGGGACUGAGAGGUUAACCCCCCACACUGGUACUGAGACACGGACCAGACUCCUACGGGAGGCAGCAGUGAGGAAUAUUGGUCAAUGGACGCAAGUCUGAACCAGCCAUGCCGCGUGCAGGAUGACGGCUCUAUGAGUUGUAAACUGCUUUUGUACGAGGGUAAACGCAGAUACGUGUAUCUGUCUGAAAGUAUCGUACGAAUAAGGAUCGGCUAACUCCGUGCCAGCAGCCGCGGUAAUACGGAGGAUUCAAGCGUUAUCCGGAUUUAUUGGGUUUAAAGGGUGCGUAGGCGGUUUGAUAAGUUAGAGGUGAAAUUUCGGGGCUCAACCCCUGAACGUGCCUCUAAUACUGUUGAGCUAGAGAGCAGUUGCGGUAGGCGGAAUGUAUGGUGUGUAGCGGUGAAAUGCUUAGAUAUCACGAAGAACUCCGAUUGCGAAGGCAGCUCACUGGACUGCAACUGACACUGAUGCUCGAAAGUGUGGGUAUCAAACAGGAUUAGAUACCCUGGUAGUCCACACAGUAAACGAUGAAUACUCGCUGUUUGCGAUAUACAGUAAGCGGCCAAGCGAAAGCAUUAAGUAUUCCACCUGGGGAGCACGCCGGCAACGGUGAAACUCAAAGGAAUUGACGGGGGCCCGCACAAGCGGAGGAACAUGUGGUUUAAUUCGAUGAUACGCGAGGAACCUUACCCGGGCUUAAAUUGCAUUUGAAUAUAUUGGAAACAGUAUAGUCGUAAGACAAAUGUGAAGGUGCUGCAUGGUUGUCGUCAGCUCGUGCCGUGAGGUGUCGGCUUAAGUGCCAUAACGAGCGCAACCCUUAUCUUUAGUUACUAACAGGUCAUGCUGAGGACUCUAGAGAGACUGCCGUCGUAAGAUGUGAGGAAGGUGGGGAUGACGUCAAAUCAGCACGGCCCUUACGUCCGGGGCUACACACGUGUUACAAUGGGGGGUACAGAAGGCAGCUACCUGGUGACAGGAUGCUAAUCCCAAAAGCCUCUCUCAGUUCGGAUCGAAGUCUGCAACCCGACUUCGUGAAGCUGGAUUCGCUAGUAAUCGCGCAUCAGCCAUGGCGCGGUGAAUACGUACGCGGGCCUUGUACACACCGCCCGUCAAG